AGGGCAAUAGUUAAAAAUAACAUUUGAAUUGCACUCAAAAAGUAUUGAUUAAAUAAAUCAAUUUGCCUUA
rnacentral:tRNA from 2 species